ACGGAGCAACGCCGCGUGAGUGAUGACGGCCUUCGGGUUGUAAAACUCUGUGAUCCAGGGACGAAAAGGCAGAGUGCGAAGAACAAACUGCAUUGACGGUACCGGAAAAGCAAGCCACGGCUAACUACGUGCCAGCAGCCGCGGUAAUACGUAGGUGGCAAGCGUUGUCCGGAAUUAUUGGGCGUAAAGCGCGCGCAGGCGGCUUCCCAAGUCCCUCUUAAAAGUGCGGGGCUUAACCCCGUGAUGGGAAGGAAACUGGGAAGCUGGAGUAUCGGAGAGGAAAGUGGAAUUCCUAGUGUAGCGGUGAAAUGCGUAGAGAUUAGGAAGAACACCGGUGGCGAAGGCGACUUUCUGGACGAAAACUGACGCUGAGGCGCGAAAGCGUGGGGAGCAAACAGGAUUAGAUACCCUGGUAGUCCACGCCGUAAACGAUGGAUACUAGGUGUAGGAGGUAUCGACCCCUCCUGUGCCGGAGUUAACGCAAUAAGUAUCCCGCCUGGGAA
rnacentral:rRNA from 1 species